GCACCUGCUCUCCCAGCACUGCCUGACGUCGUGACGUCCUGUCGAGUCGGGUAUCACUCUUCCGCCCAGGAGGAAGAUUCACACUACGAUGUGAGCUCCUGCAGAAACGGAGCCAAGAAUGUGGGUAGGAGACUGCGGUAUCUCUCGGACACGCUGGAAACGGCGUUGUUACUCCAGCGGUCAUUGCAUCCUGGAGAGAGGCCCGUAACCGAACCUAUCAAGUGUGGUCCAUUGCUAGGCGCCGACGGACCAGCUGGAUGUCGAACACCCCACAUGAACCGGUCCGUGAACGCGGGAGGAGCGCAAGCGGUGCCUAUCCCGUUCAUGAUUACCGGCAGCGCAUACAGAGGCAUAGCGAUCGUGGAAGAGUGCCAGCGGUUGCGCCUGGAUCCGCCCGACCUUUGUACAUGCCGCCGACUUAUUAGCCCUACUUUAAUCCCUCUUUUCUUUUUCACAGACCUGUGGAUCUUCCUCUUUCGAAAUAAACAAAAACAAAAACCUUG